rnacentral:rRNA from 1 species
CCUACGGGGGGCAGCAGUAGGGAAUUUUGCGCAAUGGGCGAAAGCCUGACGCAGCAACGCCGCGUGAUCGAGACGCCCUUCGGGGUGUAAAGAUCUGUCAGUGGGGACGAAACUUGACGGUACCCACAGAGGAAGCACCGGCUAACUCCGUGCCAGCAGCCGCGGUAAUACGGGGGGUGCAAGCGUUGUCCGGAAUCAUUGGGCGUAAAGAGUUCGUAGGCGGCACGUAAAGUCUGGUGUUAAAGGCAGAGGCUCAACUUCUGUACGGCACUGGAUACUUGCGAGCUAGAAUGCGGUAGAGGUAAAGGGAAUUCCUGGUGUAGCGGUGAAAUGCUUAGAUAUGACGAAGAACCCCGAUUGCGAAGGCAGCUUGCUGCAGCGGAACUGACGCUGAUGCUCGAAAGCGCGGGUAUCGAACAGGAUUAGAUACCCUUGUAGUC